UACGUAGGGUGCGAGCGUUGUCCGGAAUUAUUGGGCGUAAAGGGCUCGUAGGCGGUUUGUCGCGUCGGGAGUGAAAACCUUGGGCUUAACUCAGGGCUUGCUUUCGAUACGGGCAGACUAGAGGUAUGCAGGGGAGAACGGAAUUCCUGGUGUAGCGGUGAAAUGCGCAGAUAUCAGGAGGAACACCGGUGGCGAAGGCGGGUCUCUGGGCCAUAACUGACGCUGAGGAGCGAAAGCGUGGGGAGCGAACAGG
rnacentral:rRNA from 1 species